rnacentral:rRNA from 1 species
UACGGAGGGUGCAAGCGUUAUCCGGAUUCACUGGGUUUAAAGGGUGCGUAGGCGGGCUGAUAAGUCAGUGGUGAAAGCUCCGAGCUUAACUUGGAAACUGCCAUUGAUACUGCCAGUCUUGAAUGUCGUAGAGGUAAGCGGAAUGUUGCAUGUAGCGGUGAAAUGCUUAGAUAUGUUACAGAACACCAAUUGCGAAGGCAGCUUACUAUGCGAUGAUUGACGCUGAGGCACGAAAGCGUGGGGAGCGAACAGG